AUUGAACGCUGGCGGCAGGCUUGACACAUGCAAGUCGAGCGGGGAAGAGUAGCUUGCUACUUGACCUAGCGGCGGACGGGUGAGUAAUGCUUAGGAAUCUGCCUAUUAGUGGGGGACAACAUCUCGAAAGGGAUGCUAAUACCGCAUACGUCCUACGGGAGAAAGCAGGGGACCUUCGGGCCUUGCGCUAAUAGAUGAGCCUAAGUCGGAUUAGCUAGUUGGUGGGGUAAAGGCCUACCAAGGCGACGAUCUGUAGCGGGUCUGAGAGGAUGAUCCGCCACACUGGGACUGAGACACGGCCCAGACUCCUACGGGAGGCAGCAGUGGGGAAUAUUGGACAAUGGGGGGAACCCUGAUCCAGCCAUGCCGCGUGUGUGAAGGAGGCCUUUUGGUUGUAAAACACUUUAAGCGAGGAGGAGGCUACCGAGAUUAAUACUCUUGGAUAGUGGACGUUACUCGCAGAACAAGCACCGGCUAACUCUGUGCCAGCCGCCGCCGUAACAC
rnacentral:rRNA from 1 species